GAUGAACGCUGGCGGCGUGCCUAAUACAUGCAAGUCGAGCGAACGGACGAGAAGCUUGCUUCUCUGAUGUUAGCGGCGGACGGGUGAGUAACACGUGGAUAACCUACCUAUAAGACUGGGAUAACUUCGGGAAACCGGAGCUAAUACCGGAUAAUAUUUUGAACCGCAUGGUUCAAAAGUGAAAGACGGUCUUGCUGUCACUUAUAGAUGGAUCCGCGCUGCAUUAGCUAGUUGGUAAGGUAACGGCUUACCAAGGCAACGAUGCAUAGCCGACCUGAGAGGGUGAUCGGCCACACUGGAACUGAGACACGGUCCAGACUCCUACGGGAGGCAGCAGUAGGGAAUCUUCCGCAAUGGGCGAAAGCCUGACGGAGCAACGCCGCGUGAGUGAUGAAGGUCUUCGGAUCGUAAAACUCUGUUAUGAGGGAAGAACAUAUGUGUAAGUAACUGUGCACAUCUUGACGGUACCUAAUCAGAAAGCCACGGCUAACUACGUG
rnacentral:rRNA from 1 species